rnacentral:lncRNA from 1 species
AGAAUUUGGAGUAAGGUUGACUUAUGUAUGGUAUCGUUUGGUUGGGGUAUAAGUAAUAACUAGCUAUUACAGAGAUAUGUAUAAUUAUGGGGAUAAAAAAAAAGUGUUUAGAUGAAAAUUAGGUUGUUCCCGGGGAUAAGAAAAAUAGCGUUUGGAUAGAUAAUAUGGAAUAAGAAAAAUAUUAGAUAGUUUUAUAUAGAAAAUGGAGAUGUUGGUGGGGAUAGUUAUAAUCGGUUAUUAUAGAUAAUCGAGAACUGUUGUUCUCAGAUAAAAAAUUAGUGUUUGGGUAUAAAUGGGAGGAUAAGAAUCUAUCCCUAUUCCUAUCCCCUAAUCAAACACUGCAGGUAUUGUUCAAAUUAUUGUUUAUUUAUAUAUAAAAUACAUAAUUAAAUUUCAACAAGCUUGAAGCAGCUAUGCGAUGACUUGUUCAAAAAUCUAUUAUGAUCGGCACCCUCACUAACCUUAAAGUAUAUAUAAAUGUUAAAAAUGUCGUUUUCGUACAUCUUUCAUUAUGAUUUACCUAAUUCACCCUUAAGCUAACAUGUGGUUGGAAUUAGCUACUCGCUCACCUUUAUCAUUCCUCCCUAAAACGUGGACGGCGACUUAUUCUCGCUAACAAUUUAGUCAAUUUCUUUACCAUAUUCCUGGCCUUCGGCAACUCUCAAAAAUCAAGAAUUUCUGUAAAGUAUUUUAAGAAUAUAAUAAUAAAGAGUAGUGUAAAAAUCAUUGAUAAUAUUUUUUAGGGAAACUUCAAAUAUCCUUCUGUGGUUUCACACUUUUUCACUUUAGUACCCCAUGGUUUAAAGUAUAUCGAGCUAGUACCAUAUGGUUUAAAGUGUACCAAGUUAGUACCCUAUAGUUUCGCACUUUCUAACUUUCGUACCAUGUGGUUUCAAGUGUAUCAAGUUAGUAUCUUGUGGUUUUACAUUUUCUUACUUUAGUACCAUGUGGUUUCAAGUGUAUCAAGUUAGUAUCCUGUGGUUUCAUUUUUGUAUAAAGUUAGUACUCUGUGGUUUCAAUUUUCUCUUUAAGGUACUAACUUGAUAUACUUGAAACCACAAGAUACUAAAGUGAGAAAGUGCGAAACCAUAGAGUACUAACUUAAUACAUUUUAAAUCACAAGGUACUAAUGUGAAAAAGUGCGAAACCACAAUGGAAUAUUUGAAGUUUUCCCUAUUUUUUACUAGGACAAUUAGAUUAGCUUUUAGUUUGUAUUUGGAAAUUAGCAAAUGCAAGAGUGUUAAAACCUUUUUAUAAUUUUUUUUUUUUUUUUCAGUUUAGUAUUGCUACAACUACAAAUAACUACUCUAUAUAUAUAGGCUGCAUUUGGUUGGAGGGAUAUUUCAGAACAAGACUGAAUAUUCCUCUUUAUCCCUCCAAACACAAUGUAAAAUAGAACAUCCCCCUUGUUCUGGGCUUAACGAGUUAUUUCCGAAUAACCCGUUAAACCCAGUUCUUCUUUACAUGGAGAACAAAUUAGAACAAAAAAUUUUGUCUUUUUUUUUUUUAAUUAUGUCCUUUCAUUCUCUUUAUACUUUAUUUUAAUUAAUUUCAAAUAAAUCAAAUGAAUGCUCAAAUUUUAUGCUACUAAAUUAAUAUUUCUAUGAUGAUUUGUAAACAUACCAAAUUUGUGAAAUAAUAUGCUCUUCUAUAUUUAAAAUUAUAUAUUUAUAUUUAAUUUUAAUUAGUUUUAAACAGAAAAUUGAAAGUAUAUUUUUACUGCUAUAUUAUUAUACUAUUAUAUAUUAAUUCUAUUUCUAUUUUCAUAUAUUAAAUUAUAUUUUAUUAUUAUAUUCAAGAGCAUAAUUGUCAUUUUAUUUAAUUUUUAUUAAUUCAAUACCUUAUUUCAAUAUAAACAUUCAAAAAACAAUAUAGAAAUAUGCUAGAAAUAAACAAAUAAACAUCCAAAUAUAAUUUAGAACUUAUUUUAAUUUAUUUUAAAAUAUUUUUUGUUCUUAAGAACAAUAAAAAUUAUUCUCAAAAAAUUUAGUUCUCUAAUUAAACAUAGCGUAUGGUUCGAAAAAUGUUGCUUGUCAAAAGUGCUGCCUAAUGCAAUUAAUAGUGUAUUAAUUUUCGACAUGUUAUACUCGAAGGAAAAAAUUAAUUAAGUUUGCUUAGUUGUCACUCACCCAGAAUUUGGAGUAAGGUUGACUUAUAUUUGGUACCGUUUGGUUCGGGUAUAAAUAAGAACUAGCUAUUACAGGGAUAGGUACAAAUAUGGGGAUAAGAAAAAAAGUAUUUGAAUAAAAAUUAGGUUGUUUCUGGGGAUAAGAAAAAUAACGUUUGGAUAGAUAAUAUGGAAUAAGAAAACUAUUAGAUAGUUUUAUACAGAAAAUGAAAGUGUUGGUGGGAAUAGUUAUAACCGGUUAUUAUAGAUAACCGAGAGCUGCUGUUCUCGGAUAAAAAUUAGUGUUUGGAUAUAAAUGGGGGAUAAGGGACUAUCCCUAUUCCUAUCUCCUAACCAAACACUGCAAGUAUUGUCCAAAU